CGCCAUAAUCCAUUGUAUUUUUGUAUAGUCAUUUGCGCAUCAGUCUGUUUUAUGCACAAACAUUUUCGAAUUAUAAACUCUAAAUUAGUUUCAAUUCUUGUCACCAUUGGAACCAUUUCACAGUUCCCGCAUUUAAUAUUUACCAAGCCUUUGUACCAAGCAUCAAUAAGACGCAAAUAUGGACGGACCAGUAGGUAGCAAUGUGAUUUUACUGCCUUCUGCAGAGGCCCUGCGUAAGUCUAUCGAAUUAAGUACACAAACUCCCGAAGCAAUCGUUGAUGACUACCUCAGUUUACCAACUCUACCGUAUGGAACAACAAUUACAAUUGACAAAAUUGGAUGUCUAAACUACAAUCCAUUGACUAAGGAACACACGGGAAUACUUCCAUACAAGCAUUUUCGAUCAAAAUGUCCAGCGGAAUUCCCCGAGUGUAAAGAUCCAGAUUUGGACUACACUGACGAUGAACAGGUGUCACCAGUUAUUAUUACAUCGGGAAAUGUAAAGUACCGUG